rnacentral:rRNA from 1 species
UACGGAGGGAGCUAGCGUUGUUCGGAAUUACUGGGCGUAAAGCGCGCGUAGGCGGCUUUGUAAGUUAGAGGUGAAAGCCCGGAGCUCAACUCCGGAACUGCCUUUAAAACUGCAUCGCUUGAAUCCAGGAGAGGUGAGUGGAAUUCCGAGUGUAGAGGUGAAAUUCGUAGAUAUUCGGAAGAACACCAGUGGCGAAGGCGGCUCACUGGACCGGUAUUGACGCUGAGGUGCGAAAGCAUGGGGAGCAAACAGG